GACGAACGCUGGCGGCGUGCUUAACACAUGCAAGUCGAACGGAAAGGCCCUGCUUGCAGGGUACUCGAGUGGCGAACGGGUGAGUAACACGUGGGUGAUCUGCCCUGCACUUCGGGAUAAGCUUGGGAAACUGGGUCUAAUACCGGAUAGGACCGCACUUUAGUGUGUGUGGUGGAAAGUUUUUUCGGUGUAGGAUGGGCUCGCGGCCUAUCAGCUUGUUGGUGGGGUAAUGGCCUACCAAGGCGGCGACGGGUAGCCGGCCUGAGAGGGUGUACGGCCACAUUGGGACUGAGAUACGGCCCAGACUCCUACGGGAGGCAGCAGUGGGGAAUAUUGCACAAUGGGCGCAAGCCUGAUGCAGCGACGCCGCGGGGGGGAUGAAGGCCUUCGGGUUGUAAACUCCUUUCGCUAGGGACGAAGCUUUUUGUGACGGUACCUAGAUAAGAAGCACCGGCUAACUACGUG
rnacentral:rRNA from 1 species